rnacentral:rRNA from 1 species
UACGGAGGGGGCUAGCGUUGUUCGGAAUUACUGGGCGUAAAGCGUACGUAGGCGGCUUUGUAAGUUAGAGGUGAAAGCCCGGAGCUCAACUCCGGAAUUGCCUUUAAGACUGCAUCGCUUGAAUCAUGGAGAGGUUAGUGGAAUUCCGAGUGUAGAGGUGAAAUUCGUAGAUAUUCGGAAGAACACCAGUGGCGAAGGCGACUAACUGGACAUGUAUUGACGCUGAGGUACGAAAGCGUGGGGGAGCAAACAGGGU